rnacentral:rRNA from 1 species
AGUGGAUGGGGAGCAACCUAGUUGUGCGUGUGUAAAGGUAGUGCCAAGAAAAGCGAUGAUCAUGUUGAAAAUCAAUUCCCGGUACCCGAAACCGACACAGGUGGGCAAGUAGAGAAUACUAAGGGGCGCGAGGUAACUCUCUCCAAGGAACUCGGCAAAAUGACCCCGUAACUUAGGGAGAAGGGGUGCCACCGAGAGGUGGUCGCAGUGGAGAGGCCCAGGCGACUGUUUAGCAAAAACAUAGGUCUCUGCAAACUCGAAAGAGGAGGUAUAGGGGCUGACGCCUGCCCAGUGCCGGAAGGUUAAAGAAGUUGGUCAGUUUUAGGAUGAAGCUAGCGACUGAAGCCCCGGUGAACGGCGGCCGUAACUAUAACGGUCCUAAGGUAGCGAAAUUCCUUGUCGGGUAAGUUCCGACCCGCACGAAAGGCGUAACGAUCUGGGCGCUGUCUCGGAGAGAGGCUCGGCGAAAUAGGAUUGUCUGUGAAGAUACGGACUACCUGCAUUUGGACAGAAAGACCCUAUGAAGCUUUACUAUAGCUUGGAAUUGUGUUCGGGCUUCCUGUGCGCAGGAUAGGUGGGAGGCGUAGAAGGUAUUCUUGUGGGGAUACUGGAGCCAACGGUGAGAUACCACUCUCAGGAGGCUAGAAUUCUAACUUAAUUAAGGACAGUUUCAGGUGGGUAGUUUGACUGGGGCGGUCGCCUCCAAAAAGGUAACGGAGGCGUACAAAGGUUCCCUCAGACUGGUUGGAAAUCAGUCGAAGAGUGCAAAGGCAGAAGGGAGCUUGACUGCGAGAAGUACAGUUCGAGCAGGGUGGAAACACGGUCUUAGUGAUCCGACGGUGCUGUGUGGAAGGGCCGUCGCUCAACGGAUAAAAGUUACUCUAGGAUAACAGGCUGAUCUCCCCCAAGAGUUCACAUCGACGGGGAGGUUUGGCACCUCGAUGUCGGCUCAUCGCAACCUGGGGCGGAAGUACGUCCCAAGGGUUGGGCUGUUCGCCCAUUAGAGCGGUACGUGAGCUGGGUUCAGAACGUCGUGAGACAGUUCGGUCCAUAUCCGAUGUAGGCGUGAGAAUAUUGAGAGGAGCCUUCCUUAGUACGAGAGGACCGGGAAGGACGCACCGCUGGUGUACCUGUUAUGAUGCCAAUUGUAAACGCAGGGUAGCCAAGUGCGGAGAGGAUAACCGCUGAAAGCAUCUAAGUGGGAAGCCCACCUCAAGAUGAGUAUUCUGGUGUAAGGUCACGGGAAGACGACCCGUAAAUAGGCACGAGGUGGAAGUGCAGAGAUGUAUGAAGCCGAAGUGUACUAAUAGACCGUCGGC